AAUAUAGAGAAUAAUCAUAAUAAUAAUGAUAUUUAUUGCCUUUUGCUAUGAAAGGGACAUUUUCUUGAACAUUUCUUAAUGAAGACAUUGUAAUUUAAAAAUAAAAACUAGCAUCCUGCAUCUUUGAUUGCCAGAUUCAUCAUAACACGCAUAAAUAUAAACAAAAAGACUCAAGAUAUAGCUCUUUAAAAAACCUGUGUGUGUGAUAAUGUCAUAUAGUUAGUUAAAAAUUGCUUUGAUUUAUAGGGAUUUAAUUUAGUGACUUUACCAUUUGUUUUAAUGAUGUUUAUUUACAGUGCAAUCUAUUCUGCUUACCCGACUCAUGCAGACUUCUGUCCUGAUGUUUGGCUGUAGUCCUUCCAUCAUCCACUCUUCUGCAACCGGUCUAUUUAUGGAGACCACCAUGAUCUAAUCUAUACAGAUCUAGUUGUCUCUUCUCCCACAAACUCCUAUUUCAGAUUUUGAGCGGAUCUCCUUCAUUCUGCCGCCAGCUCACCAGAACCUCAGGGUGCACCAGCUGUGGAUAUUACAGGCCAAACUUUGGACACCCUAGGACAACAUCCUUAGCACAGAUCUACCUAUAGCCCUCCAUCAUUCCCACAUCCAUCUUGCAACAGUUUCAUUAAGUGCAGUCCAUAACCAGUUCACGGUCUACACCUUGUCCAUUGCAAAUGUUAUGGAUUAU